rnacentral:rRNA from 1 species
CGUAGGGGGCUAGCGUUAUCCGGAUUUACUGGGCGUAAAGGGUGCGUAGGUGGUCUCUUAAGUCAGGAGUGAAAGGACUACGGCUUAACCGUAGUAAGCUCUUGAAACUGGGAGACUUGAGUGCAGGAGAGGAAAGUGGAAUUCCUAGUGUAGCGGUGAAAUGCAUAGAUAUUAGGAGGAACACCAGUAGCGAAGGCGGCUUUCUGGACUGUAACUGACACUGAGGCACGAAAGCGUGGGGAGCAAACAGGAUU